AUUGAACGCUGGCGGCAGGCUUAACACAUGCAAGUCGAGCGAGCGGCGGACGGGUGAGUAAUGUCUGGGAAACUGCCUGAUGGAGGGGGAUAAGUACUGGAAACGGUAGCUAAUACCGCAUACUCUCAGAUGUGCCCAGAUGGGAUUAGCUAGUAGGUGGGGUAAUGGCUCACCUAGGCGAAGAUCCCUAGCCGGUCUGAGAGGCAGACAGGCGACACGGGAACUGGGGCACGGUCAAGCCGCCUACGGGAGGAGGCAGUGGGGAAUAUUGAACAAGGGGGGAAGGCUUGAGACAGGCAUGCCGCGUGUGUGAAGAGGGCCUUCGGGUUGUAAAGCACUUUCAGCGAGGAGGCGUUACUCGCAGAAGAAGCACCGGCUAACUCCGUGCCAGCAGCCGCGGUAAUUC
rnacentral:rRNA from 1 species